CGCUCUAGUCCGUGGAAGGCGGCCCGUAAUGAUUGUCGUGUAUGGUUAUCGUAGGAUCCCUUCGGGGGGAAGUCGACGGAAUGAGCGGCGGACGGGUGAGUAACACGUAAAGAACCUGCCCUCAGGUCUGGGAUAACCACGAGAAAUCGGGGCUAAUACCGGAUGGGUCAUCGGACCGCAUGGUCCGAGGAUGAAAGGCGCUUCGGCGUCGCCUGGGGAUGGCUUUGCGGUGCAUUACUAGUUGGUGGGGUAAUGGCCCACCAAGGCGACGAUGCAUAGCCGACCUGAGAGGGUGAUCGGCCACACUGGGACUGAGACACGGCCCAGACUCCUACGGGAGGCAGCAGUAGGGAAUCUUCCACAAUGGACGAAAGUCUGAUGGAGCAACGCCGCGUGAACGAUGAAGGCCUUCGGGUCGUAAAGUUCUGUUGUAAGGGAAGAACAAGUGCCGCAGGCAAUGGCGGCCCCUUGACGGUACCUUGCGAGAAAGCCACGGCUAACUACGUGCCCACCCCGCGGUAAUCUAGGGUGGCAAGCGUUGUCCGGAAUUAUUGGCGUAAAGGCGCGCAGGCGCCUCUUAUUCUGAUGUGAACCCCCCGGCUCACCGGGAGGGCCAUUGAAAACUGGGAG
rnacentral:rRNA from 1 species